rnacentral:rRNA from 1 species
GAUGAACGCUGGCGGCGUGCUUAACACAUGCAAGUCGAACGAAGCAUGUAAGUGGAUCCCUUCGGGGUGAAGCUUACAUGACUUAGUGGCGGACGGGUGAGUAACGCGUGGGUAACCUGCCUCAUACAGGGGGAUAACAGUUGGAAACGACUGCUAAGACCGCAUAACCCGCUAGUGUCGCAUGACACGGACGGAAAAUAUUUAUAGGUAUGAGAUGGGCCCGCGUCUGAUUAGCUAGUUGGUGGGGUAAUGGCCUACCAAGGCAACGAUCAGUAGCCGACUUGAGAGAGUGAUCGGCCACAUUGGGACUGAGACACGGCCCAAACUCCUACGGGAGGCAGCAGUGGGGAAUAUUGCACAAUGGGCGAAAGCCUGAUGCAGCGACGCCGCGUGAGUGAAGAAGUAUUUCGGUAUGUAAAGCUCUAUCAGCAGGGAAGAUAAUGACAGUACCUGACUAAGAAGCCCCGGCUAACUACGUGCCAGCAGCCGCCGUAAAAC